GACGGUACCUGAAGAAAAAGCAUCGGCUAACUCCGUGCCAGCAGCCGCGGUAAUACGAAGGAUGCAAGUGUUAUCCGGAAUCAUUGGGCGUAAAGGGUCCGCAGGUGGCCAAUCAAGUCGGCUGUUAAAGACCGGGGCUUAACUCCGGGCAGGCAGUGGAAACUGAUUAGCUAGAGUACGGUAGGGGUAGAGGGAAUUCCCAGUGUAGCGGUGAAAUGCGUAGAUAUUGGGAAGAACACCGGUGGCGAAAGCGCUCUACUAGGCCGAAGCUGACACUGAGGGACGAAAGCUAGGGUAGCGAAAGGGAUUAGAUACCCCUGUAGUCUUAGCUGUAAACGAUGGAUACUAGGUGUAGCUCGUAUCGACCCCAGCUGUGCCGAAGCUAACGCGAUAAGUAUCCCGCCUGGGGAGUACGCACGCAAGUGUGAAACUCAAAGGAAUUGACGGGGGCCCGCACAAGCGGUGGAGUAUGUGGUUUAAUUCGAUGCAACGCGAAGAACCUUACCAGGGCUUGACAUGUCGCGAAUCUAGCGGAAACGUUAGAGUGCCUUAGGGAAUGCGAACACAGGUGGUGCAUGGCUGUCGUCAGCUCGUGUCGUGAGAUGUUGGGUUAAGUCCCGCAACGAGCGCAACCCUCGUCCUUAGUUGCCAAUAUUAAGUUAGGCACUCUAGGGAUACUGCCGGGGACAACUCGGAGGAAGGUGGGGAUGACGUCAAGUCAGCAUGCCCCUUACGUCCUGGGCGACACACGUACUACAAUGGUUGGGACAAAGGGCGGCAAGCUCGCGAGAGUAAGCGAAUCUCAUCAAACCCAGCCACAGUUCAGAUUGCAGGCUGCAACUCGCCUGCAUGAAGUAGGAAUCGCUAGUAAUCGCAGGUCAGCAUACUGCGGUGAAUUCGUUCCCGGGCCUUGUACACACCGCCCGUCACACCAUGGAAGCUGGCUACGCCCGAAGUCGUUACCCUAACCCUAAGGGGAGGGGGAUGCCGAAGGUAGAGCUAGUGACUGGGGUGAAGUCGUAACAAGGUAGCCGUACCUGAAGGUGUGGCUGGAUCACCUCCUUU
rnacentral:rRNA from 1 species